AUGAAUCUGACUGCAAUCUUCAACUCUGUACAAACAUCAUAUUCAAGUAGGUGGUGUGAGGACUGCUGCCCUGAGAACGCUGUGUCAGAGACACUUAGGCUGUGUGCAUUUUGGAAUGUUCCAAAUGUGUGUCACUUCCAUAAGGAAGAAGUUCCAAGCCUGCAAUUUAUCCCCUCCUUUCAUGUGUCUGUUAUGACUUUGUGGGCUCAACUGUCAACAACUGUCCAGGGCGAAGUCGGUC